rnacentral:rRNA from 1 species
UACGGAGGGUGCGAGCGUUGUCCGGAAUCACUGGGCGUAAAGGGCGCGUAGGCGGCCUGAUAAGUAGGGGGUGAAAUCCUGCGGCUUAACCGCAGGGCUGCCUUCUAAACUGUCAGGCUUGAGCACAGUAGAGGCAGGUGGAAUUCCCGGUGUAGCGGUGGAAUGCGUAGAGAUCGGGAAGAACAUCAGUGGCGAAGGCGGCCUGCUGGGCUGUUGCUGACGCUGAGGCGCGACAGCGUGGGAGCAACAGGAUUAG